CAGGAAUAACUGACUUUGGUUCACAUAAUGUGAAUGAAAGCAAAUGUCUCUGAUUAUGUGCGUCUGUAUUUUCUUCUUCAUAUAACAUUUCACCAGCUGACUGUGUAAACAUGGCAGCCAUCUUUAGCCUUUUUCCAUAUUUUAAACUAGAAAAUGCUUUUGAAUUUGAGUCCCUCAAACUUUCAGGUGUUUAACUUUACUGUGUACUUUACAUUUAAAUAUUACAUAAUAAAUAAUUUAAACAGAAAACUGCAAAGAAGUCAUGUGAAUAAUUAGACGUUUUGAUUCACUUUUUUCAGAUUUUGUAUCUUUGAGGUUCAUAAUUGUCUCUGUGGGAUUGGCAGCACUUUUAAUAACAGCUGUGACAGUCAACAUGUGGACAAAAACUAAAGGGAAGAAAACACAGAUGGAUGAAAACACAGUACAUUAUGAUAGAGAUGAAGAUGUUCCAGUCAACUAUGAAAAUGUGGGAGACUCUGCUGUUUCUAUCAGACUGCACUGAUCAAUAACUUGCUGUUAUGUUAUCAGUAUCAUCUCAUCUGGAUUUACAUGUUAAAUAUCUUAUAUAUGAUUUGUCCGUGUGUGUGUGUGUGUGUGUGUGUGUGUGUGUGUGUGUGUGUGUGUACUUUUGUUUUAGUCUGAUUAAAGAUGUUUUUAAUGUCCAAAUUGUGUUGUACUUUCUCCAGUGUGCGCUUUAUAACGUGUCUUUAAUGAUCUUUAGAAUCUGUAUAAAUAUUCUGUUUUGUUUAUGAUAAUUUGAUCUCAAUAUUAAAACAAA